AUUGAACGCUGGCGGCAUGCUUUACACAUGCAAGUCGAACGGUAACAGGGUGCUUGCACCGCUGACGAGUGGCGAACGGGUGAGUAAUGCGUCGGAACGUGCCGAGUAGUGGGGGAUAACGCAUCGAAAGGUGUGCUAAUACCGCAUACGUACUGAGGUAGAAAGUGGGGGACCUUCGGGCCUCACGCUAUUCGAGCGGCCGACGUCUGAUUAGCUAGUUGGUGAGGUAAAGGCUCACCAAGGCGACGAUCAGUAGCGGGUCUGAGAGGAUGAUCCGCCACACUGGGACUGAGACACGGCCCAGACUCCUACGGGAGGCAGCAGUGGGGAAUUUUGGACAAUGGGCGCAAGCCUGAUCCAGCCACGCCGCGUGUCUGAAGAAGGCCUUCGGGUUGUAAAGGACUUUUGUCCGGGAGCAAAUACCCAGUGCUAAUAACACUGGGGGCUGAGAGUACCGGAAGAAUAAGCACCGGCUAACUACGUGCCAGCAGCCGCCGUAAUAC
rnacentral:rRNA from 1 species